GUAGAAUGUCACCACAAAGACUGCCGUUGUCAAAAGGCAGAUUAUGUAAAGUGUUUAUUGUAUCAUAAAUGGCCAGCACAAAAGCAAAAAUGACAUUGCUAGGAGCCAUUUCGUUUACGACAUUUAUGUUCUCAUAUGUGCAUGUUGUACAGUACUUAGAAAGAGAGGACGUAAAAAAGGGGGUGCGUCAAUAUGUAAAAGAGCAAGAAAUGAAAAAAGAAACGGUCAAUAAAACUGACAGAAGUGAAAAAUCAUGACCAGCUGUGUCUGAUUGCAAUUGCAACUGUGAUCCAGUGCUGAUUUGUGCAUGAAGUGUGAGGUCAGGGAAAAACACAUUCAGAAAAGAGGAAGUGGAGAUGAAUAUCGUGCUAAGCCCCAGUUGGAUCAUUUUGUUCUUGGCUGGCAGAAAGAUUAUCUAAACUAUUAGGAAAUUAUCUGGAAAGUGCCCUUUUCGGAGUAAAAUUUAUUAACUUCUCAUGGUGAUGUGACUUAUGGUUAACUUGUUUCUUAAUUUUUUUUAUUUUGUGCCAAUUACUGCAACAGAAAAUCUGAAUAGCUAACUUAACACUUUAUACAUGCAUUUCAUUAUUAAAAAAAUGUAUAAUA